rnacentral:rRNA from 1 species
UACGUAGGGGGCAAGCGUUGUCCGGAUUUAUUGGGCGUAAAGAGCGUGUAGGCGGCUAGGUAGGUCCGUUGUGAAAACUCGAGGCUCAACCUCGAGAUGUCGGCGGAAACCAUCUGGCUAGAGUCCGGAAGAGGAGAGUGGAAUUCCUGGUGUAGCGGUGAAAUGCGCAGAUAUCAGGAAGAACACCCGUGGCGAAGGCGGCUCUCUGGGACGGUACUGACGCUGAGACGCGAAAGCGUGGGGAGCGAACAGG